GGACGAAUCUCUGGAGAGACUCCCUCCUGUUGCUAAGCAACAAGGAGGAAACAGAGCACCGAAGGAGCAAAUCCACUAUUAUGUAUGGCGGAUAAUCUCUCAGGUAAAAGGACAGAGACAAGCGA
rnacentral:ncRNA from 1 species